rnacentral:rRNA from 1 species
GAUGAACGCUGGCGGCGUGCCUAAUACAUGCAAGUCGAGCGAACAGACGAGGAGCUUGCUCCUCUGACGUUAGCGGCGGACGGGUGAGUAACACGUGGAUAACCUACCUAUAAGACUGGGAUAACUUCGGGAAACCGGAGCCAAUACCGGAUAAUAUAUUGAACCGCAUGGUUCAAUAGUGAAAGACGGUUUUGCUGUCACUUAUAGAUGGAUCCGCGCCGCAUUAGCUAGUUGGUAGGGUAACGGCUUACCAAGGCAACGAUGCGUAGCCGACCUGAGAGGGGGAUCGGCCACACUGGAACUGAGACACGGUCCAGACUCCUACGGGAGGCAGCAGUAGGGAAUUUUCCGCAAUGGGCGAAAGCCUGACGGAGCAACGCCGCGUGAGUGAUGAAGGUCUUCGGAUCGUAAAACUCUGUUAUUAGGGAAGAACAAAUGUGUAAGUAACUAUGCACGUCUUGACGGUACCUAAUCAGAAAGCCACGGCUAACUACGUG